AUGUCUCUCUCUCCCCCUGUCUCUCGCUAUCCCCUGUCUCUCUCUAUCCCUGUCUCUCUCUAUCCCCUGUCUCUCUCUUCCCCUGUCUAUCUCUUCCCCUGUCUCUCUCUUCCCCUGUCUCUCUCUUCCCCUGUCUCUCUCUUCCCCUGUCUCUCUCUAUCCCUGUCUCUCUCUACUCCCUGUCUCUUUCUACCCCCUGUCUCUCUCUUCCCCUGUCUCUCUCUUCCCCUGUCUCUCUCUAUCCCCUGUCUCUCUCUAUCCCCUGUCUCUCACUAUCCCCUGUCUCUCUCUAUCCCUGUCUCUCUCUAUCCCCUGUCUCUCUCUAUCCCCUUUCUCUCUCUAUCCCCUGUCUCUCUCUAUCCUCUGUCUCUCUCUACCCUGUCUAUCUCUAUCCCCUGUCUCUCUCUAUCCCUGUCUCUCUCUACCCUGUCUCUCUCUAUCCCCUGUUUCUCUCUAUCCCUGUCUCUCCUAUCCCCUGUCCUCUCUCUAUCCCCUGUCUCUCUCUACCCCUGUCUCUCUCUAUCCCUGUCUCUCUCUACCCGCCUGUCCUCUCUACCCCCUGUCUCUCUCUACCCCCCUGUCCUUCUCUACCACUGUCUCUCAACCCCUGUCUCUCUCUACCCCUGUCUCUCUCUAUCCCCUGUCUCUCUCUACCACCGUCUCUCUACCCCCUUCUCUCUCUACCACUGUCUCUCAACCCCUGUCUCUCUCUACCCCUGUCUCUCUCUAUCCCCCUGUCUCUCUCUAUCCCCUGUCUCUCUCUACCCUGUCCUCUCUCUACCACUCUCGCUCUACUACCCCUGGUCUCGCUCUAACCAAGCCCCCUGUCUCUCUCUUGCUCCCCCGUCUCUCUCUAUCCUGUCUCUCUCUAUCCCUGUCUCUCUCUAUCCCUGUCUCUCUCUACCACUCUCUCUACCCCCUGUCUCUCUCUACCCCCUGUCUCUCUCGAACUACCACCCCCGUCUCUCUCUAUCCCUGUCUCUCUCUAUCCCUGUCUCUCUAUCCCUUCUCUCUCUAUCCCCCUGCUCUCUCUAUCCCUGUCUCUCUCUACACUCUUUCUACCCCUCUUCUACCCACCUGUCCUCUCUUCUUCCCCCUGUCUCUUCUUCCCCUGUCUCUCUCUAUAUCCCCUGUCUCUCUCUAUCCCUGUCCUCUCACUAUCCCCUGUCUCUCUCUAUCCCUGUCUCCUCUCUAUCCCCUGUCUCUCUCUAUCCCCUUCCUCUCAUAUCCCCUGUCUCUCUCUAUCCUCUGUCUCUCUCUACCUGUCUCUCUCUAUCCCUGUCUCUCUCUAUCCCUGUCUCUCUCUACCCUGUCUCUCUCUAUCCCCCCCUGUUUUUUUUCUCUCUAUCCCCUGUCUCUCUCUAUCCCCUGUCUCUCUCUAUCCCUGUCUCUCUCUACCCUGUCUCUCUCUAUCCCUGUCUCUCUCUACCCCCUGUCUCUCUCUACCCCCUGUCUCUCUCUACCCCCUCUCUCUCUACCACUGUCUCUCAACCCCUGUCUCUCUCUACCCCUGUCUCUCUCUAUCCCCUGUCUCUCUCUACCACCGUCUCUCUACCCCCUUCUCUCUCUACACUUCUCUACCCCUCCUGUCUCUCUCUACCCCUGUCUCUCUCUAUCCCCUGUCUCUCUCUAUCCCCUGUCUCUCUCUACCCUGUCUCUCUCUACCACUCUCUCUCUACCCCCUGUCUCUCUCUACCCCCUGUCUCUCUCUUCCCCCGUCUCUCUCUAUCCCUGUCUCUCUCUAUCCCUGUCUCUCUCUAUCCCUGUCUCUCUCUACCACUCUCUCUACCCCCUGUCUCUCUCUACCCCCUGUCUCUCUCUACCCCCCGUCUCUCUCUAUCCCUGUCUCUCUCUAUCCCUGUCUCUCUAUCCCUGUCUCUCUCUAUCCCUGUCUCUCUCUAUCCCUGUCUCUCUCUACCACUCUCUCUCUNNNNNNNNNNNNNNNNNNNNNNNNNNNNNNNNNNNNNNNNNNNNNNNNNNNNNNNNNNNNNNNNNNNNNNNNNNNNNNNNNNNNNNNNNNNNNNNNNNNNCUCUCUACCCCUGUCUCUCUUCCCCUGUCUCUCCUACCACUGUCUCUCUAUACCACUGUCUCUCUCUAUCCCUGUCUCUCUCUAUCCCCUGUCUCUCUCCCCUGUCUCUCUUUCCCCUGUCUCUCUCUACCACUGUCUCUCUCUACCACUGUCUCUCUCUUUCCCCUGUCUCUCUAUCCCCUGUCUCUCUCUACCCCUGUCUCUCUCUACCACUGUCUCUCUCUUUCCCCUGUCUCUCUCUACCCUGUCUCUCUCUAUCCUCCCCCCGUCUUCUCUUUCCCCUGUCUCUCUCUAUCCCCUGUCUCUCUACCCCUGUCUCUCUUUCCCCUGUCUCUCUCUACCCCUGUCUCUCUCUACCACUGUCUCUCUCUACCCCCUGUCUCUCUCUACCCACUAUCUCUCUCUACCCCUGUCUCUCUCUACCACUGUCUCUCUCUUUCCCCUGUCUCUCUCUACCCCUGUCUCUCUCUUUCCCCUGUCUCUCUCUAUCCCCUGUCUCUCUACCCCUGUCUCUCUUUCCCCUGUCUCUCUCUACCCCUGUCUCUCUCUACCCCUGUCUGUCUCUAUCCACUGUCUCUCUCUAUCCACUGUCUCUCUCUACCCCGUCUCUCUCUACCCCUGUCUGUCUCUAUCCCCUGUCUCUCUCUAUCCCCUGUCUCUCUCUAUCAUGGUCUCUCUCUAUCCAUUGUCUCUCUCAACCCUGUCUCUCUCUAUCCCCUGUCUCUCUCUAUCCCAUGUCUCUCUCUAUCCCUGUCUCUCUCUAUCCCCUGUCUCUCUCUACCACUGUCUCUCUCUAUCCCCCUGUCUCUCUCUACCCCUGUCUCUCUCUACCCCUGUCUCUCUCUACCCCUGUCUCUCUCUACCACUGUCUCUCUCUACCCCUGUCUCUCUCUACCCACUGUCUCUCUCUACCCCUGUCUCUCUCUACCCCUGUCUCUCUCUACCCCUGUCUCUCUCUACCCCUGUCUGUCUCUAUCCACUGUCUCUCUCUAUCCACUGUCUCUCUCUACCCCUGUCUCUCUCUACCCUGUCUGUCCUCUAUCCACUGUCUCUCUCUAUCCCCUGUCUCUCUCUAUCCCUGUCUCUCUCUAUCCAUUGUCUCUCUCAACCCCCUGUCUCUCUCUACCCCUGUCUCUCUCUACCCCUGUCUCUCUCUAUCACUGUCUCUCUCUAUCCCUGUCUCUCUCUAUCCCCUGUCUCUCUCUAUCCUGUCUCUCUCUAUCCCCUGUCUCUCUCUACCCCUGUCUCUCUCUACCACUGUCUCUCUCUAUCCCCUGUCUCUCUCUAUCCCCUGUCUCUCUCUACCCCUGUCUCUCUCUAUCCCUGUCUCUCUCUAUCCCUGUCUCUCUCUAUCCCCAUCUCUCUCUAUCCCCUGUCUCUUUCUACCCCUGUCUCUCUCUACCCCUGUCCUCUCUCUACCCCCGUCUCUCUCUUUCCCCUGUCUCUCUCUAUCCCCUGUCUCUCUCUAUCCCCUAUCUCUCUCUACCCCUGUCUCUCUCUAUCCCCUGUCUCUCUCUAUCCCCUGUCUCUCUACCCCUGCUCUCUCUUUCCCCUGUCUCUCUCUACACUGUCUCUCUCUACCACUGUCUGUCUCUAUCCACUGUCUCUCUCUAUCCCCUGUCUCUCUCUAUCCCUGUCUCUCUCUAUCCAUUGUCUCUCUCAAUCCCUGUCUCUCUCUAUCCCCUGUCUCUCUCUAUCCCCUGUCUCUCUCUAUCCCUGUCUGUCUCUAUCCACCGUCUCUCUGUCCCCUGUCUCUCUCUAUUCCCAUCUCUCUCUAUCCCUGUCUCUCUCUAUCCCUGUCUCUCUCUAUCCCUGUCUCUCUCUACCACUGUCUCUCUCUACCCUGUCUCUCUCUACCCCUGUCUCUCUCUACCACUGUCUCUCUCUACCCUGUCUCUCUCUACCCCUGUCUCUCUCUCACCACUGUCUCUCUCUACCCCCUGUCUCUCUCUACCCACUGUCUCUCUCUACCCCUGUCUCUCUCUACCCCUGUCUCUCUCUACCCCUGUCUGUCUCUAUCCACUGUCUCUCUCUAUCCACUGUCUCUCUCUACCCCUGUCUCUCUCUACCCCUGUCUGUCUCUAUCCACUGUCUCUCUCUAUCCCCCUGUCUCUCUCUACCCCUGUCUCUCUCUACCCUUGUCUGUCUCCAUCCACUGUCUCUCUCUUUCCCCUGUCUCUCUCUAUCCCCUGUCUCUCUCUAUCCCCUGUCUCUCUCUACCCCUGUCUCUCUCUAUCCCCUGUCUCUCUCUAUCCCCUGUCUCUCUACCCCUGUCUCUCUUUCCCCUGUCUCUCUCUACCACUGUCUCUCUCUAUCCCCUGUCUCUCUCUUUCCCCUGUCUCUCUCUACCCCUGUCCUCUCUCUUUCCCCUGUCUCUCUCUACCCUGUCUCUCUCUACCCCUGUCUCUCUCUACCACUGUCUCUCUCUACCCUGUCUCUCUCUACCCACUGUCUCUCUCUACCCCUGUCUCUCUCUACCCCUGUCUCUCUCUACCCCUGUCUGUCUCUAUCCACUGUCUCUCUCUAUCCACUGUCUCUCUCUACCCCUGUCUCUCUCUACCCCUGUCUGUCUCUAUCCACUGUCUCUCUCUAUCCCCUGUCUCUCUCUAUCCCUGUCUCUCUCUAUCCAUUGUCUCUCUCAAUCCCUGUCUCUCUCUAUCCCCUGUCUCUCUCUAUCCCCUGUCUCUGUCUAUCCCUGUCUGUCUCUAUCCACCGUCUCUCUGUCCCCUGUCUCUCUCUAUCCCAUCUCUCUCUAUCCCCUGUCUCUCUCUAUCCCCUGUCUCUCUCUAUCCCUGUCUCUCUCUACCACUGUCUCUCUCUACCCUCUCUCUCUCUACCCCUGUCUCUCUCUACCACUGUCUCUCUCUACCCCCUGUAUCUCUCUACCCACUGUCUCUCUCUACCCCUGUCUCUCUCUACCCCUGUCUCUCUCUACCCCUGUCUGUCUCUAUCCACUGUCUCUCUCUAUCCACUGUCUCUCUCUACCCUGUCUGUCUCUAUCCACUGUCUCUCUCUAUCCCAUGUCUCUCUCUAUCCCUGUCUCUCUCUAUCCAUUGUCUCUCUCAACCCCUGUCUCUCUCUAUCCCCUGUCUCUCUCUAUCCCCUGUCUCUCUCUAUCCCUGUCUGUCUCUAUCCACCGUCUCUCUGUCCCCUGUCUCUCUCUAUCCCUGUCUCUCUCUAUCCCCUGUCUCUCUCUACCCCUGUCUCUCUCUACCACUGUCUCUCUCUAUCCCCUGUCUCUCUCUAUCCCCUGUCUCUCUCUACCCCUGUCUCUCUCUAUCCCCAUCUCUCUCAAUCCCCUGUCUCUCUCUAUCCCCUGUCUCUCUCUAUCCCUGUCUCUCUCUAUCCCCUGUCUCUUUCUACCCCUGUCUCUCUCUACCCCUGUCUCUCUCUACCCCGUCUCUCUCUUUCCCCUGUCUCUCUCUAUCCCCUGUCUCUCUCUAUCCCCUGUCUCUCUCUAUCCCCUGUCUCUGUCUAUCCCUGUCUGUCUCUAUCCACCGUCUCUCUGUCCCCUGUCUCUCUCUAUCCCCAUCUCUCUCUAUCCCCUGUCUCUCUCUAUCCCCUGUCUCUCUCUAUCCCUGUCUCUCUCUACCACUGUCUCUCUCUACCCUCUCUCUCUCUACCCCUGUCUCUCUCUACCACUGUCUCUCUCUACCCCCUGUAUCUCUCUAACCCACUGUCUCUCUCUACCCCUGUCUCUCUCUACCCCUGUCUCUCUCUACCCCUGUCUGUCUCUAUCCACUGUCUCUCUCUAUCCACUGUCUCUCUCUACCCCUGUCUGUCUCUAUCCACUGUCUCUCUCUAUCCCAUGUCUCUCUCUAUCCCUGUCUCUCUCUAUCCAUUGUCUCUCUCAACCCCUGUCUCUCUCUAUCCCCUGUCUCUCUCUAUCCCCUGUCUCUCUCUAUCCCUGUCUGUCUCUAUCCACCGUCUCUCUGUCCCCUGUCUCUCUCUAUCCCUGUCUCUCUCUAUCCCCUGUCUCUCUCUACCCCUGUCUCUCUCUACCACUGUCUCUCUCUAUCCCCUGUCUCUCUCUAUCCCCUGUCUCUCUCUACCCCUGUCUCUCUCUAUCCCCAUCUCUCUCAAUCCCCUGUCUCUCUCUAUCCCCUGUCUCUCUCUAUCCCUGUCUCUCUCUAUCCCCUGUCUCUUUCUACCCCUGUCUCUCUCUACCCCUGUCUCUCUCUACCCCGUCUCUCUCUUUCCCCUGUCUCUCUCUAUCCCCUGUCUCUCUCUAUCCCCUGUCUCUCUCUAUCCCCUGUCUCUCUACCCCUGUCUCUCUUUCCCCUGUCUCUCUCUACCACUGUCUCUCUCUAUCCCCUGUCUCUCUCUUUCCCCUGUCUCUCUCUACCCCUGUCUCUCUACCCGUCUCUCUCUUUCCCCUGUCUCUCUCUAUCCCCUGUCUCUCUCUAUCCCCUGUCUCUCUCUACCCCUGUCUCUCUCUAUCCCCUGUCUCUCUCUUUCCCCUGUCUCUCUCUAUCCCCUGUCUCUCUACCCCUGUCUCUCUUUCCCCUGUCUCUCUCUACCACUGUCUCUCUCUACCAAUGUCUCUCUCUACCACUGUCUCUCUCUUUCCCCUGUCUCUCUCUAUCCCCUGUCUCUCUACCCUGUCUCUCUUUCCCCUGUCUCUCUCUACCACUGUCUCUCUCUUUCCCCUGUCUCUCUCUACCCCUGUCUCUCUACCCCGUCUCUCUCUUUCCCCUGUCUCUCUCUAUCCCCUGUCUCUCUCUAUCCCCUGUCUCUCUCUACCCCUGUCUCUCUCUAUCCCCUGUCUCUCUCUUUCCCCUGUCUCUCUCUAUCCCCUGUCUCUCUACCCCUGUCUCUCUUUCCCCUGUCUCUCUCUACCACUGUCUCUCUCUACCACUGUCUCUCUCUAUCCCCUGUCUCUCUCUGUCCCCUGUCUCUCUACCCCUGUCUCUCUUUCCCCUGUCUCUCUCUACCACUGUCUCUCUCUACCACUGUCUCUCUCUUUCCCCUGUCUCUCUAUCCCCUGUCUCUCUCUACCCCUGUCUCUCUCUACCACUGUCUCUCUCUUUCCCCUGUCUCUCUCUACCCCUGUCUCUCUCUAUCCCCUGUCUCUCUCUUUCCCCUGUCUCUCUCUAUCCCCUGUCUCUCUACCCCUGUCUCUCUUUCCCCUGUCUCUCUCUAUCCCCUGUCUCUCUCUACCCCGUCUCUCUCUUUCCCUUGUCUCUCUCUAUCCCCUGUCUCUCUCUACCCCGUCUCUCUCUACCCCUGUCUCUCUCUACCCCGUCUCUCUCUUUCCCCUGUCUCUCUCUAUCCCCUGUCUCUCUCUAUCCCCUGUCUCUCUCUACCCCUGUCUCUCUCUUUCCCCUGUCUCUCUCUAUCCCCUGUCUCUCUACCCCUGUCUCUCUCUACCCCGUCUCUCUCUUUCCCCUGUCUCUCUCUCUAUCCCCCCUCUCCCCCCUCCUUUCUCUCUCACAUUCUCUCGCUCCCUCUAAUUCUCUCUUUCUCAUGA
ensembl:lncRNA